AAACCACACCAAUUAAAUUAAGUCUUAACUCACAUCCAAAUUUGAGAAAAAUAUGAAGUCAGUUGUUCUAAUUUGUUUCAUUUUGAGCUUAGUUGCAGGAAGAUCCACAGCCUCAUUUGGGAAGUGCUACGCCAAGUGCUUUAUAGUGUGUGCUAUCACACCAGGCAUUCCCGUUGGCACUUGUGGGGCAAAAUGCUUGGCUGAUUGCCUUUUCAUUGCUUCUUCCCCUAUGGAUUUGAAUUAUAUGGACACUCAUUACUUUUGUAAACUUGGUUGUGCCACUUCUCGUUGCACCAAAUUCAGCACCAAGAAAGACCCUGCCGAAAAGAAAGUAGAAAGCUGUGUGAACACAUGUGAUCAAACAUGCACAAAAGCUUAAGAAGCAAAAAAGAUGAAAGGAGAAGGAGCUGGGAUUGGCUUCAAUGAAUAAACAAAAAUCAGUGGUUAAAAAAAACAUUGGUUUAAAAGUCAUAUUCCAGAUUUAAGCAUAUAUAUAUAUAUUUAUAGUCCCAAGUUUGUGCAUGUAGUUAAUUAUGGUCAAUAUGAAAAAAAAAAAAAAGGUGUGGCUUUUUCUAUAAUUAUAUGAGAAAAUGGUGUGUUAUGUCAAAGACUUUUACCUAUGCCUAUUCAUAUGAUUAAUUACAUAUUUAA